rnacentral:rRNA from 1 species
CCUACGGGUGGCAGCAGUGGGGAAUAUUGGACAAUGGGGGGAACCCUGAUCCAGCCAUGCCGCGUGUGUAAAGAAGGCCCUCGGGUUGUAAAGCACUUUCAGUGAGGAAGAACGCCUGGUGGUUAAUACCCAUCAGGAAAGACAUCACUCACAGAAGAAGCACCGGCUAACUCCGUGCCAGCAGCCGCGGUAAUACGGAGGGUGCGAGCGUUAAUCGGAAUUACUGGGCGUAAAGCGCGCGUAGGUGGCUUGAUAAGCCGGUUGUGAAAGCCCCGGGCUCAACCUGGGAACGGCAUCCGGAACUGUCAAGCUAGAGUGCAGGAGAGGAAGGUAGAAUUCCCGGUGUAGCGGUGAAAUGCGUAGAGAUCGGGAGGAAUACCAGUGGCGAAGGCGGCCUUCUGGACUGACACUGACACUGAGGUGCGAAAGCGUGGGUAGCAAACAGGAUUAGAUACCCGGGUAGUC